AGUACGUGAAACUGCUUAGAGGUUAAACCCGAUGAACCUGAAUAUCCAUUAUGGAAAAUUCAAUACUAAUAUUACAAUAUAUAUCAUAUUUGUAAAAAUAAUAUGCAAUUUUUCCAUAUAAGGACAUUGUAAUCUGUUAAUGUAAUAAUUAUUUAUCAAAAGAUUCUUUACUUAAGUUUAUUCAAAUUGUUUAUUUUCGGAUAUUCAACAUAAAAUAAAUGUAUUGAAUUGGAUAAAUCAUUGACAGAUAUAAUUAUAUAAUGUGCUCAAAUUCUAAGGAAUUUUACAAUGAUAAAUAGAUCUAUUGAUUUGUUUAUUUAUUUGUUUGCACUAUUAUGAUUAACAAUGCGAUAGAUUCAGGAUACCUUCGGGACCCGUCUUGAAACACGGACCAAGGAGUCUAACAUAUGUGCAAGUCAUUGGGUAUUUAUAAUAAAACCCAAUGGCAUAAUUAACUUAACUUUAUAUAUAAUGGGAUUAGUUUAUAAUUUAUUAUGAAUUAUUUAUUCAAUCCCGGGGCGUUCUAUACAGUUAUGUAUAAUGGUAUUUAUAUUAUUUAUACCUCUAACUAGAGCGUACCUUGAGC
rnacentral:rRNA from 1 species